UCCAGGCCCUACGGGGCGCAGCAGUCGCGAAAACUUCACAAUGGGCGAAAGCCCGAUGAGGGAAUUCCUAGUGCUAGCACAUUUGUGUUAGCUUUUCCUUAGCGUAGAUAACUAGGGGAAUAAGGGCUGGGUAAGACGGGUGCCAGCCGCCGCGGUAAUACCCGCAGCCCGAGUGGUGGUCGAUUUUAUUGAGUCUAAAACGUUCGUAGCCGGUCUGAUAAAUCCCUGGGUAAAUCGGGUGGCUUAACCAUCCGAAUUCGGGGGAGACUGUCAGGCUUGGGAUCGGGAGAGGUAUGAGGUACUUCAGGGGGAGGGGUAAAAUCCUGUAUUCCUUGGAGGACCACCGGUGGCGAAGGCGUCAUACUAGAACGAAUCCGACGGUGAGGGACGAAGCCCUAGGUCGCAAACGGGAUUAGAUACCCCGGUAGUCUAGGGUGUAAACGCUGCAGACUAGGUGUUGGAGGCCCUACGGGGGCACCCAGUGCCCGAGAGAAGUUGUUAAGUCUGCUACUUGGGGAGUACGUCCGCAAGGAUGAAACUUAAAGGAAUUGGCGGGGGAGCACCGCAACGGGAGGAGCGUGCGGUUUAAUUGGAUUCAACACCGGA
rnacentral:rRNA from 1 species